ensembl:lncRNA uncharacterized LOC116745958
UGCGUCACGACGCCGCCAGCUGAUCGCAGACUGUAGCCGGUGUGUGCUGGGCGCUGGGAAGAGACAGCGCCGCCGGCCGUGGGGAUCGGACGCACUGAUUUGCUCCCCUACCCUCAGCACCCCCCCCACCCAGCACCAGGCACCUGUACCUCCCACAUCCUCACCUGGCUGAGCCGCAGUAGUUCUUCAGUGGCAAGCUUUAUGUCCUGACCCAGCUAAAGCUGCCAGUUGAAGAACUGUUGCCCUCUGCCCCUGGCUUCGAGGAGGAGGAGGAAGAAGAGAAGGAGCUGCCUUCCCCUCAUCUGGAAGGUGACAGAACUGGGUCUGGGAAGGUCUGAACAGCGAGCGUGAUGAUACCUUUGGGAAAGGGAACCCUAUUCAGCUGGAGAACCUUCACCCAGAUUGAGCCAGCAGGAGAGAAAAUUUCAGAUUAGAGACCUUGGCUGAAUUGGGGAAUAGAUGGCUCUGACUACACCCAAGUGUCUCCCUCCAGCCUUGGGUAUGUGGCUCUGCCAUCCUCACCCAUCAUGGAGCAGAAAUGAGGAAGAGCAGCCUGGGAACACAGAGGCAGGCAGAAGACUAGUGAAGGACCAGGCCUGGAGAGCACAGGGCCCUGUCUGGACAUCUGCUGAGGGGGGCCCAUAGAGGCCAGGAGAGCCCCAGGAGGAGGGAGAACGGCCAGCCUCCAUCGAGGACAAGCUUCCAGCCAUCUACUUCAUUCUCCGUUGCUCUCCAGUCGUUCUGCCUCCCUCAGAGAUGUGGGACCAUGUUAAAGCGUCCUUGGCUUCAUCCUGCUGCUUCCACCUCUCCCCACCAUGUAAUUUAGCUGUGAAAGGACAUAUGCAGAAAAUUCUUAAAAGAAAUUCAAAUGGAUUUGAAUGUGUGGGAAAAAAUGUGUGCUUCAUUAGUAAUUAAAGCGAGGCAAAUAUAGCUGAAAGCGUUUUUCCCGUAGCAAACUAUAACAGAAAAAAAAUAAGACCCAGUUAUUGGCAAAGGAGUACUAAAAUAACACUCUCUACAUUGCAUAUGGGCGUACAAAUUGCUACAGCCUUACUGAUGUCAGUUUGGUAACAUGUAUCAAACAUCCUAAAAGUUUCCAUGGCCUUUGACCUAGUAAUUCUACGUUUGGAAAUUUAUCCUAAGGAAAUAAUUAAAGAUUAGUUUAAACGAUGUUCAUCCCAGCAUUGCAGUAGAGAAAAAUGAGAAGCAACUAUCUGGUUGGGAAUUGAUUUCUUUUCUGCUAUAAUUGAAAUUUGCAAGAGGGGGUUGCUUAAGUAAAUUAUUGUAUAUCCAUCCGGAUGGUGUGGUGGAGUGCUGUGCAGCCAUUAAAAGUCACAUAGAAGAACAUUUGACUGGAAAGAAAAAUGCUCCUUGAACAUUAAAAAGAUUAUAAAAAUGGUGUAUAUUAUGUGAUCUCAAUUUUGUUUUUAUACAUAAAACAGUCUGAAAAAGACUGACGACAUACUCCAAAUUGUUAAUAAUAGUAGUUACCUUUGAAUGAUGGAAUAAAAUAGUUGUAAUUUUUCUGUUUGGUUUUCUGUAGUUGCCAAAUUUUCUACAUUAAUUGUGUAUGACUUCCAUAUAAUAAAAUUUAAAAG